UACGGGGGGAGCAAGCGUUGUUCGGAUUUACUGGGCGUAAAGGGCGCGUAGGCGGUCGUGACAAGUCACUUGUGAAAUCUCCGGGCUUAACUCGGAACGGUCAAGUGAUACUGUCGGACUAGAGUACAGAAGGGGCAACUGGAAUUCUCGGUGUAGCGGUGAAAUGCGUAGAUAUCGAGAGGAACACCUGCGGCGAAGGCGGGUUGCUGGGCUGAUACUGGCGCUGAGGCGCGAAAGCUAGGGGAGCGAACGGG
rnacentral:rRNA from 1 species